UUCGAUGAAGAGAUGAUGACGAGUCUGACU
rnacentral:piRNA from 2 species